GAUGAACGCUGGCGGCGUGCCUAACACAUGCAAGUCGAACGGAGUCCAGCCUUUAAGACCUUCGGGUCAAAGAGGGGAAGACUGAGUGGCGGACGGGUGAGUAACACGUGGGCAACCUGGCUCAUAGAGGGGGAUAACAGAGAGAAAUUUCUGCUAAUACCGCAUAAGCACACACUGCCGCAUGGCAGAGGGUGAAAAGAGAAUCGCUAUGAGAUGGACCCGCGUCUGAUUAGCCAGUUGGCAGGGUAAGAGCCUACCAAGGCGACGAUCAGUAGCCGAUCUGAGAGGAUGAACGGCCACAUUGGGACUGAGACACGGCCCAAACUCCUACGGGAGGCAGCAGUGGGGGAUAUUGCACAAUGGGGGGAACCCUGAUGCAGCGACGCCGCGUGAGUGAAGAAGUAUUUCGGUAUGUAAAGCUCUAUCAGCAGGGAAGAUAAUGACAGUACCUGAAUAAGAAGCCCCGGCUAACUACGUG
rnacentral:rRNA from 1 species